rnacentral:rRNA from 1 species
UACGUAGGGGGCAAGCGUUGUCCGGAAUCAUUGGGCGUAAAGAGCGUGUAGGCGGCCCGGUAAGUCCGCUGUGAAAAGUCCAGGGCUCAACCCUGGGAUGCCGGUGGAUACUGUCGGGCUCGAGUCCGGAAGAGGAGUGUGGAAUUCCUGGUGUAGCGGUGAAAUGCGCAGAAUAUCAGGAGGAACACCAAUGGCGAAGGCAG